rnacentral:lncRNA from 1 species
CUUUCUCUGCUCGUUAAAACUUUAAUGUUCUCUCUAAUUAUGCAUGAAAUACUGACAACUGGACAAUUCGCAAUCAACAGCCUAAAGUUAAUUUAUUCAGUAGAACUGAAAAAAACCCAUUAAAACUUGUAUGUUUUCUCUAAUUUGCAUGAAAUACUUCCAACUGGACAAUAUGCAACCAGCAGUCUAGAGUUUAUCUUAACAAAAGAA